UGGGUAACCUGCCUCAAAGAGGGGAAUAGCCUCCCGAAAGGGAGAUUAAUACCGCAUAAUAUGUUUAAGUCGCAUGACUUUAACAUCAAAGGAUUUUCUUUUAGAACUUCCACUUUGAGAUGGACCCGCGGCGCAUUAGCUAGUUGGUGAGGUAACGGCUCAUCAAGGCAACGAUGCGUAGCCGACCUGAGAGGGUGAUCGGCCACAUUGGAGCUGAGACACGGUCCAGAUCCGUAACGGG
rnacentral:rRNA from 1 species